CCUACGGGUGGCUGCAGUGAGGAAUAUUGGUCAAUGGACGAGAGUCUGAACCAGCCAAGUCGCGUGAGGGAUGACUGCCCUACGGGUUGUAAACCUCUUUUAUAGGGGAAUAAAAUGUGUCACGUGUGACUCUUUGAGUGUACCCGAAGAAAAAGCAUCGGCUAACUCCGUGCCAGCAGCCGCGGUAAUACGGAGGAUGCGAGCGUUAUCCGGAUUUAUUGGGUUUAAAGGGUGGGCAGGGGGGGGGUUAAGUCAGUUGUGAAAGUUUGGGGUCUAAACCGAGAAGUGCAGUUGAAACUGGAUGCCUGGAGUACAUGAGAGGUGUGCGGAAUGCGUGGUGUAGCGGUGAAAUGCAUAGAUAUCACGAAGAACUCCGAUUGCGAAGGCAGCACACUGGCGUGCAACUGACGCUGAGGCUCGAAAGCGUGGGUAUCGAACAGGAUUAGAUACCCGUGUAGUC
rnacentral:rRNA from 1 species